UGGAUAGUAUCAUAAUGAGCUAUACCAUUUUUAUAAAAAUAAAAUUUAAUAUUUGUUAUCUGCUCUGAGCCAUAAGAGGACCGAGACAGGAAG
rfam:Desulfonispora thiosulfatigenes DSM 11270 genome assembly, contig: Dest_Contig00028